GUGGAUGCCCUGGCAGUCAGAGGCGAUGAAGGGCGUGCUAAUCUGCGAUAAGCGCCGGUAAGGUGAUAUGAACCGUUAUAACCGGCGAUACCCGAAUGGGGAAACCCAGUGUGACUCGUCACACUAUCAUUAACUGAAUCCAUAGGUUAAUGAGGCGAACCGGGGGAACUGAAACAUCUAAGUACCCCGAGGAAAAGAAAUCAACCGAGAUUCCCCCAGUAGCGGCGAGCGAACGGGGAGGAGCCCAGAGCCUGAAUCAGCAUGUGUGUUAGUGGAAGCGUCUGGAAAGGCGCGCGAUACAGGGUGACAGCCCCGUACACAAAAGCGCAUGUGCUGUGAGCUCGAUGAGUAGGGCGGGACACGUGGUAUCCUGUCUGAAUAUGGGGGGACCAUCCUCCAAGGCUAAAUACUCCUGACUGACCGAUAGUGAACCAGUACCGUGAGGGAAAGGCGAAAAGAACCCCGGCGAGGGGAGUGAAAAAGAACCUGAAACCGUGUACGUACAAGCAGUGGGAGCACAGGUUUACCUGUGUGACUGCGUACCUUUUGUAUAAUGGGUCAGCGACUUAUAUUCUGUAGCAAGGUUAACCGAAUAGGGGAGCCGGAGGGAAACCGAGUCUUAAUUGGGCGUUAAGUUGCAGGGUAUAGACCCGAAACCCGGUGAUCUAGCCAUGGGCAGGUUGAAGGUUGGGUAACACUAACUGGAGGACCGAACCGACUAAUGUUGAAAAAUUAGCGGAUGACCUGUGGCUGGGGGUGAAAGGCCAAUCAAACCGGGAGAUAGCUGGUUCUCCCCGAAAGCUAUUUAGGUAGCGCCUCGUGAAUUCAUCUCCGGGGGUAGAGCACUGUUUCGGCUAGGGGGCCAUCCCGGCUUACCAACCCGAUGCAAACUGCGAAUACCGGAGAAUGUUAUCACGGGAGACACACGGCGGGUGCUAACGUCCGUCGUGAAGAGGGAAACAACCCAGACCGCCAGCUAAGGUCCCAAAGUCAUGGUUAAGUGGGAAACGAUGUGGGAAGGCCCAGACAGCCAGGAUGUUGGCUUAGAAGCAGCCAUCAUUUAAAGAAAGCGUAAUAGCUCACUGGUCGAGUCGGCCUGCGCGGAAGAUGUAACGGGGCUAAACCAUGCACCGAAGCUGCGGCAGCGACACUGUGUGUUGUUGGGUAGGGGAGCGUUCUGUAAGCCUGUGAAGGUGUGUCGUGAGGCAUGCUGGAGGUAUCAGAAGUGCGAAUGCUGACAUAAGUAACGAUAAAGCGGGUGAAAAGCCCGCUCGCCGGAAGACCAAGGGUUCCUGUCCAACGUUAAUCGGGGCAGGGUGAGUCGACCCCUAAGGCGAGGCCGAAAGGCGUAGUCGAUGGGAAACGGGUUAAUAUUCCCGUACUUGGUGUUACUGCGAAGGGGGGACGGAGAAGGCUAUGUUGGCCGGGCGACGGUUGUCCCGGUUUAAGCGUGUAGGUGUGUGUUCCAGGUAAAUCCGGUUCACUUUAACACUGAGGCGUGACGACGAGGCACUACGGUGCUGAAGCAACAAAUGCCCUGCUUCCAGGAAAAGCCUCUAAGCAUCAGGUAACAUCAAAUCGUACCCCAAACCGACACAGGUGGUCAGGUAGAGAAUACCAAGGCGCUUGAGAGAACUCGGGUGAAGGAACUAGGCAAAAUGGUGCCGUAACUUCGGGAGAAGGCACGCUGACACGUAGGUGAAGUGAUUUACUCAUGGAGCUGAAGUCAGUCGAAGAUACCAGCUGGCUGCAACUGUUUAUUAAAAACACAGCACUGUGCAAACACGAAAGUGGACGUAUACGGUGUGACGCCUGCCCGGUGCCGGAAGGUUAAUUGAUGGGGUCAGCGCAAGCGAAGCUCCUGAUCGAAGCCCCGGUAAACGGCGGCCGUAACUAUAACGGUCCUAAGGUAGCGAAAUUCCUUGUCGGGUAAGUUCCGACCUGCACGAAUGGCGUAAUGAUGGCCAGGCUGUCUCCACCCGAGACUCAGUGAAAUUGAACUCGCUGUGAAGAUGCAGUGUACCCGCGGCAAGACGGAAAGACCCCGUGAACCUUUACUAUAGCUUGACACUGAACAUUGAGCCUUGAUGUGUAGGAUAGGUGGGAGGCUUUGAAGUGUGGACGCCAGUCUGCAUGGAGCCGACCUUGAAAUACCACCCUUUAAUGUUUGAUGUUCUAACGUGGACCCGUUACCCGGGUUGCGGACAGUGUCUGGUGGGUAGUUUGACUGGGGCGGUCUCCUCCUAAAGAGUAACGGAGGAGCACGAAGGUUGGCUAAUCCUGGUCGGACAUCAGGAGGUUAGUGCAAUGGCAUAAGCCAGCUUGACUGCGAGCGUGACGGCGCGAGCAGGUGCGAAAGCAGGUCAUAGUGAUCCGGUGGUUCUGAAUGGAAGGGCCAUCGCUCAACGGAUAAAAGGUACUCCGGGGAUAACAGGCUGAUACCGCCCAAGAGUUCAUAUCGACGGCGGUGUUUGGCACCUCGAUGUCGGCUCAUCACAUCCUGGGGCUGAAGUAGGUCCCAAGGGUAUGGCUGUUCGCCAUUUAAAGUGGUACGCGAGCUGGGUUUAGAACGUCGUGAGACAGUUCGGUCCCUAUCUGCCGUGGGCGCUGGAGAACUGAGGGGGGCUGCUCCUAGUACGAGAGGACCGGAGUGGACGCAUCACUGGUGUUCGGGUUGUCAUGCCAAUGGCACUGCCCGGUAGCUAAAUGCGGAAGAGAUAAGUGCUGAAAGCAUCUAAGCACGAAACUUGCCCCGAG
rnacentral:rRNA from 1 species